GACGAACGCUGGCGGCGUGCUUAACACAUGCAAGUCGAACGGAAAGGCCCUGCUUUUGUGGGGUGCUCGAGUGGCGAACGGGUGAGUAACACGUGAGUAACCUGCCCUUGACUUUGGGAUAACUUCAGGAAACUGGGGCUAAUACCGGAUAGGAGCUCCUGCUGCAUGGUGGGGGUUGGAAAGUUUGGGCGGUUGGGGAUGGACUCGCGGCUUAUCAGCUUGUUGGUGGGGGAGUGGCUUACCAAGGCUGUGACGGGUAGCCGGCCUGAGUGGGUGACCGGCCACAUGGGGACUGAGAGACGGCCCAGACUCCUACGGGAGGCAGCAGUGGGAAAUAUUGCACAAUGGGCGGAAGCCUGAGGAGGCAACGCCGCGUGCGGGAUGACGGCUUGCGGGUUGUAAACCGCUUUCGCCUGUGACGAAGCGUGAGUGACGGUAACGGGUAAAGAAGCACCGGCUAACUACGUG
rnacentral:rRNA from 1 species